AGCUCCAAUAGCGUAUAUUAAAGUUGUUGCAGUUAAAAAGCUCGUAGUUGGAUUUCUGGUAGAAGGUAAUGGCGCACUUGUGUGAGGCUUGCGUCUUCUGCCAUCCUUCUGUUAACUUGGAUUGACAUUGACUUGUCAGCCAAGGGCUCAGAUAUUUUACCUUGAGAAAAUUAGAGUGUUUCAGGCAGGCUUUUGCCCGGAUACAUUAGCAUGGAAUAAUGGAAUAGGACUUUAGCCUCUUCUGUUGGUCUGAGGGGUUGAAGUAAUGAUUAAUAGGGAUAGUUGGGGGCAUUAGUACUUAACUGUCAGAGGUGAAAUUCUCGGAUUUGUUAAAGACUAACUUAUGCGAAAGCAUUUGCCAAGGAUG
rnacentral:rRNA from 1 species